rnacentral:lncRNA from 1 species
UGGAGGGAAGGUGUAGCGGAAUACGUGUUUUGCAGUUUUCGCGUGUGCCUGAUGGUUUUUGAGAGGAAUGCCUGGUCCACAGAAAUGUGGGCACUAUAUAUACUAUAUAUAUAUUCUAACAAUUUGAGAUUAAAACAAAAAAGAGAGAACAGUUCAGCUUAGAAUUGGAUCUACUGGGACAAACUGUAUAAGUGUUUAGGCCUAGCAUAAUUAUAUGUGGUGAUGACAUGUAAAUUCAAAUGGGAGAAUGAAAUUGACACAGUACUAAUAGCAAUAAUAUCAGUUUAAUCAAACUGUGGAUCUUUUAUUGAGAAAGAUUUUACAUGAAUAUAUUCGGAGACAGAUACCUUUUUCUUUUGCUAUCAAUGAUGAUCUAUAAAAACUGGAAAUGAUGAUUCCAAUUUAAAUGUCUUUAUACUUUUUCAUAGUCUUUAGUCUAUCAACACAAAAAUAUCAGCAUAUUCCAAUAUUUUUCAAUGUAUGCAGCAGGAGAGAAGUAAUUCUUGCAUCUACAGUGAUACACAGAUUUCCAUAGAUGCUGCUGUUCUAUCUGGAUCCCAACACCAUAGGAAGGCCAAUAUUCUCCAACCACCCAGAUGAAAAUUCCAAGACCACUGACUAUCCGAUCUUUAUCCUCCUUCUUCAAAAAUGUCUAUUAUUAUUAUGUUGUUGUUUAUCAUAUGAGCACAAAAUAAUUCCGGAGAAAAGUGUUAUGUCAGACAAGAGUCAAGAUAGCUACUUGUG